AGAGUUUGAUCCUGGCUCAGGACGAACGCUGGCGGCGUGCCUAAUACAUGCAAGUCGAACGCUCUUUUCUUAUCGAACUUCGGUUCACCGAGAAAAGGGAGUGGCGAACGGGUGAGUAACACGUGGGUAACCUACCCAUCAGCGGGGGAUAACACUUGGAAACAGGUGCUAAUACCGCAUAAUUCUUUUCUUCGCCUGAAGGGAAGAUGAAAGACGCUUUUGCGUCACUGAUGGAUGGACCCGCGCUGCAUUAGCUAGUUGGUGGGGUAACGGCUCACCAAGGCCACGAUGCAUAGCCGACCUGAGAGGGUGAUCGGCCACACUGGGACUGAGACACGGCCCAGACUCCUACGGGAGGCAGCAGUAGGGAAUCUUCGGCAAUGGACGGAAGUCUGACCGAGCAACGCCGCGUGAGUGAAGAAGGUUUUCGGAUCGUAAAACUCUGUUGUUAGAGAAGAACAAGGAUGAGAGUAGAAUGUUCAUCCCUUGACGGUAUCUAACCAGAAAGCCACGGCUAACUACGUGCCAGCAGCCGCGGUAAUACGUAGGUGGCAAGCGUUGUCCGGAUUUAUUGGGCGUAAAGCGAGCGCAGGCGGUUUCUUAAGUCUGAUGUGAAAGCCCCCGGCUUAACCGGGGAGGGUCAUUGGAAACUGGGAGACUUGAGUGCAGAAGAGGAGAGUGGAAUUCCAUGUGUAGCGGUGAAAUGCGUAGAUAUAUGGAGGAACACCAGUGGCGAAGGCGACUCUCUGGUCUGUAACUGACGCUGAGGCUCGAAAGCGUGGGGAGCAAACAAGAUUAGAUACCCUGGUAGUCCACGCCGU
rnacentral:rRNA from 1 species